rnacentral:tRNA from 1 species
CAAACUAUACUUUAAGAUAAGGUUUUCAUUUACAUUGGAAAAGUUAUUGUGCAAUUCAAUAUGGUUUGA